rnacentral:rRNA from 1 species
AGCUCCAAUAGCGUAUAUUAAAGUUGUUGCGGUUAAAAUGCUCGUAGUUGGAUUUCUGCUUAGGGUGACCGGUCCGCCCUCUGGGUGAGUAUCUGGCUUAGCUUGGGCAUCUUCCUGGGGAACGUAGCUGCACUUGACUGUGUGGGACGAUACCUUGGACUUUUACUUUGAGGAAAUUAGAGUGUUUCAAGCAGGCACAUGUCUUGUAUACAUUAGCAUGGAAUAAUAAUAUAGGACCUUUGUUCUAUUUUGUUGGUUUCUAGAGCUUAGGUAAUGAUUAAUAGGGAUAGUUGGGGGCAUUUGUAUUUAACUGUCAGAGGUGAAAUUCUUGGAUUUGUUAAAGACAGACUACUGCGAAAGCAUUUGCCAAAUAUGUUUUCA